CUCUGGCUUGAGCUAUUAGCUGGAAGGGAGUCCAGGAAGAUGAAGAAAGGAAAACAAGUUUUCCUUGCUUGCUUCUAGGGUCAAUGCAUCCUUAAAUUGCACAUUUAAAAUAAUUAGUAUUCGAAGAGAAAAAUGUCUGAUUUUUCCUCUUUUUUACCAUUCUGAAAUUUUUAGUCUGUGCUCUUGAUUUCUCUCCUUUUAGGUCCAUGAAAGAGCGCACAUUUAUCCAGAGAAGGCUGGGGCCCGCGUCAGAGGCUGACCGCCUGUGCCUGGGAUCUUAGCCAGCUGCUUGAGGUCAGAUGCACCAUCAGCAGGAGCAGCUUUGCCUGAAGUGAGAGGGGCAUCUUCUGAAUGAGAAACCAAGAUACAGAUUUCCUUCUGGGAUUCCUUCUCUUCAGCCCAAAGGACUUCUUUUCACAAUUCUUUUGGAGUGAGGCUGUUGGAAACAAAUUCCAUUAGUUUUCCUUCUUCAAGAAUGUCUUUUAUUUCACCUGCAUUGUGGAAGAGAGAGAGAGCACAAGCAGGCGAGCAGCAGGCAGAGGGAGAAGCAGACUCCUCGCUGAGCAGGGAGCCCAACAUGGGGGUCAAUCCCGGAACCCCAGGAUCAUGUCCAGAGCUGAAGGCAGCCACCAAGCGACUGAACCAUCCAGGUGCCCCUAACUAUUCCAUCACCAAAUCCAGUCCAACCCAACAUCAACUCCUAUUGGCUUCAGCUGCAAAACAGCUCAUCUCCAAAUUGUGUCAGAAGAAGACCCAGCCUCACCCCAUGUGCACAAUGAUGAGCCUUUGGUUUGCCAGAUUGGAUGGGGAAGACUCACAAGAGCUGACUGUCCACGGCUGGAGAUACAGAGAUAAUAAGAGUGUUCAUGAGCAGGGGGAAAGGCAGAGGAAGAAGCAGACUCUCCACUGAGCUAGGAGCCCAACGUGGGACUUGAUCCCAGGACCCAGAGAUCAUGACCUGAUCGAAGGCAGACGCUUAACCAUCUGAGCCACUCAGGCUGGACCUCCGCUGAUAUAAGGAUAAAUUCUCAGAAGCAGGGGCACCUGAGUGGCUCAGUCCAUUAGGCCUCUGCCUUUGCUCGGGUCAUGAUCUCAGGGUCCUGGGAUUGAGCCCCACAUUGGGCUCCCUGCAGCAGGGAGCCUGGUUCUCCCUCUGCCCCUCCCCCCUUCUCCAGAUUGCGCUCUCUCACUCUCUUGCUCUAUUUCAAAUAAAUGAAUAAAAUCUUUCAGAAAAAUUCUCAGAAGCUGAAUUAUGAGGUCAAAACCAAGAUUUUUAAAAGCAAAAUUUAAAGACAUUUCUUCCUGCUGUCUUUCUCUCCCGUAAGCCCUCCCCUCUACCUGUCGACCUCCAUAUGUAGCCAGGCCCUUCUCCUGUCACCCCAUCUCUUUACAUGUCUCAGCCUCUGGGCAUUGGACUAUCCCUCUGGUCACAUGACACUUAAAAAUUGAUAAAACAAAGAGGUAAGGGGGAAAACCACCACUUCCUGGUGGUAAUUGAUAUCUAUGCUUUCAGAACAUGCUCAGGCAAGUGGAAAGAAUAAGCAAUUAUCUGGAUCAUUCAAGCAAACAUUAACUCCCCUUUAUCUGGCAUGAGUGAGUGCUGAAAGAGAAGGAAAAUUAGAAUUAAUUAUUAACAUCUUUAAAAUCGCCAGAAUCAGGUAGAGAGUAAAUGAAUUCACCACUUUUUUUUUCUUUUUUAAAGAUUUGAUUUAUUUAUUUGAUGGGGAAAGAGGAAAUAUAAGCAGGGGGAGGGGCAGAGGGUGAAGGUAAAAGUAGGCUUCCCACUGAGCGGGGAGCCCGAGGUGGGCUUGAUCCCAGGACCCUGAGCCACCCUGGCACCCCACCACUUCAUUUUCUAUGAGAGUCUCCUGAGGGAAUGAUGUCUGCUUGGCCGUUGCAACACCAGGUU